rnacentral:rRNA from 1 species
AUGAACGCUGGCGGCGUGCCUAAUACAUGCAAGUCGAGCGAACAGACGAGGAGCUUGCUCCUCUGACGUUAGCGGCGGACGGGUGAAUAACACGUGGAUAACCUACCUAUAAGACUGGGAUAACUUCGGGAAACCGGAGCUAAUACCGGAUAAUAUAUUGAACCGCAUGGUUCAAUAGUGAAAGACGGUUUUGCUGUCACUUAUAGAUGGAUCCGCGCCGCAUUAGCUAGUUGGUAAGGUAACGGCUUACCAAGGCGACGAUGCGUAGCCGACCUGAGAGGGUGAUCGGCCACACUGGAACUGAGACACGGUCCAGACUCCUACGGGAGGCAGCAGUAGGGAAUCUUCCGCAAUGGGCGAAAGCUUGACGGAGCAACGCCGCGUGAGUGAUGAAGGUCUUCGGAUCGUAAAACUCUGUUAUUAGGGAAGAACAAAUGUGUAAGUAACUAUGCACGUCUUGACGGUACCUAAUCAGAAAGCCACGGCUAACUACGUG